UAUUAAAAAUGAUGUAAGCCAACACAAAAGGUCAUGUAAUUUGUUUGGCACACAUCAUUUUUAGUACUCAUCGAGCCUCCCAGAACCAAUUAACAGUGAGUAUUAGGUACCACUGAAUUUUGUAUCACUGAAGAGAAAUAUGUGGGCAAACAAUGCAUUUUGCUAAAUCAUUUUAUUUAUUGAAAUACAAUUAAAAUGCAAAAUUGCUUUUUAGAUUUAAAUUAAACAGGUUAAAAAAGGAAAGCUAUAUGUGUCCUUUAUUACAAAAAUAUCAAUUCCCAAUUCAAUUAACUAGCAAUGGUCCUUGCUUGUCUCACAAGACCUAUGGCUACACAAUGGGUAACAACAUGUAUAUAUCAUGCUGAGCUUCUCCAAGGAGAGGAUGGACAAAAUGAGUAGGGGGGGGAAAUCCAAAAUAAAAGUAAUAUGAACAGAUUUUAUAUUUAAUUCACAUAAAGCUCCAAAAAUAUUUUAACACAAUGUUGUAUUUAAAUGUUCAUUUUCAAAACUAAGGCUUAGGAGACUUAGGCGACAGUCUCCUAGGAGACUGAUACGAUUUCUCUUUAUUUCUUAUUGUAUGCCAAAGUUUGAAUUCUUUCAUCAUGAUUCAGGAAUGAAUUAGCAGUGAACUACCUGCACCAGAAUUUUGUUCUAUUGCAUUUCUAAAAAAAAAAAAAAAAGGCAAGUGAGAGGCAGCAAAAUUUUUAAAAAAGCAUUUCACCAGCUUUCGGCUGUUUCCAUUUUUUAAAGCAAACAAAUCACAAAUGCUACAAUUUUGUCACCUCUCCUCCUCCAGAGCCAUCUGCCUAGAACGCUUUGCAUCCUCCAGAGCCAAUAAGAAGGAACAAGCUGAAAAAUACUGAUCCCUUUUAAUAACAGAGAGUGGGCUAAUCUGUUUUCAAAUUUAACUUUUGUUUGGGACAAAACCAAAGAAAUGAAUGUUCUCUACCAAAAUGCCAGCUUUUCAGGUCAUUCCCUGAGCUAAUCCUUGCAAGCAAUUUCUGGACAAGCCUAGGUCAUAGAGAGUAGGGAGAAACAGCUCUCCAAUGGUGAUCUGAGCAACCAGUUUUAGGGACUGCUCCUUAACUGUUUAUACCACAGAUGAUCAUUAUUACAAUUUAUCCAAAUCAAGAAUUACUGCCCAACUCUGUUCUUAUCUCCCUUUUCCCCUUUCUUUGUUAAAAAUCUUUUAGGUUUUAAAGUUAUUCUGGGAAUCUUUUCAGCUGUAUGAUGGAGCUCAAAACAUAACGAAAAUAAAAGUUAAAUUUGGAUUUGUAUAAACUUUUAUUUUAAUAGGCUUCAAAUGAAGAACUAUGUUCCCAAAGUUAGAGGGAUGAAAAACUAUGCUAUCUCAUAUCUGUAUAUAAACUUUGUCCUGCAAGCAAUGCAUAUACUGUGCCCACAAAUUACAUUACCAACAUCAAUUCUUCCAUAUUUAUUUUGCUACCUUAUAUUCUGAUUGGCCAAUCCUGGAGAGGUACUGAACAGAACAUUCAAGCAUUGGAAAGAACCAGGGAACUUUCACGUUCUGCAAUUCAUUAGGCAUUGCCUCUAAGAGACAUACAUAUAAGGGGAUUAGGUAUACAUUUAUAUCUCCCAAAUCCCCCUCCUCCCUCCCCAAAACUU